rnacentral:lncRNA from 1 species
CCACCAUGCCCAGCGUCAGAACAUUUAGUUUUUGAUAGUGAGGUCGGCCAGCCUUCAGGACAGAAUGGGGCAAAGGGUUUGAGCAUCAUUCUGAGACUCCAACAUGACAGCCACAGGCACCGACCUUGAGCCGGUCCAGUGCAGUGCAGUGCAGCCCAUAAGCCCCUUGGCUUCCACUAGACCAGGACACCUCCCUCUCACCCAGCCUCCCCUUGCUCUCACCCUUUGGCCAGCGAAACCUUAAAGUCAACACUCUUGUCUUCCAGAAAUUGCUCAUCCACAGGGAGGUCACAUAGUUUUGCCCCAGCCACAUUCAGAAUUAACCCAUCCUUCAAGUUUCCCCACCUGUAGGGCAGGAAGGAAAUCAGGCGUGGGUGCUGGAAGCAUCAGCAGCUCACGUGGGGUCAGGGGAGGAGGGCUCACCGGUACAACUUCCUUCUCUCUUCCAGCUCCUCUUCCUGGUGUUUCUGGAACAGGCCUCGAGGGUCGUCGCCCACAGUACGGCCUAGAAGGCCAGAGGAGGGCUUGGCCAGUGACUUUUGGUGAGCGCCUCUUCUCGCCCCUGCCAGGAGAGCCUCAUCACUCCGUCCUUCUGUGUGACCCCUGCCUCUUCAGCAUCACGCCCCUCCCCCAGGCUCCAGCCACUUUGUGCCAGCUGCAGCCACAGCCCCUUCGACACUCCCAAAGAGCCCUGCGCUCCAGGUUCCAGCACCCCCAUCCUGCGCCCUCUUCUCCACACGCGCAUCCCCCCAGCUUCUCUCGCACCCCAGAGGCCUCCUGACACCCCCAGCCCCGCGCUUACUGGUGCCUUCAGGCAGGCUCAGGACGCCGUCGACCUCCACCCAGCGGUAACAAGGGAACCUGACCUCGUCCCCGGCUCCGGGGCCCUACACGGAGAUCCAGCUGCAGAACCUGAAGGAAGUGACGUUUGCGCAGUUUCACAAACAUCAGCGGCCCCAGGUGAUAAAGCCUGAAAGGUAGAGAUCCAACAGCGCUAGCGGUUGAAACGUUUUUUAAAAUAGAGAAAGCGAGAGGACCGACGGCGGCUCCGGUGACUGCUGAGUUUCCAGACAAGGGAGCUCUGUGCAAUGAGGGGCGCACAGGAGCAUGCCCUCAAUUCCAAGAAGAUCAGGUAGCCGGAAAAUUUAUUAAGCGCUUACUGUGUGCCACCUGCGUGUUUUCUGUCCAAAUCAGAAAAGGAUUUGGACAGAAAACACGCAGGAAGAAGGAAUCAACCCCUGGUACAGCAGGCAGGCGAGGUAGGGGUAGGAGUUAUGCACGUGUAUGCAAGCCUGGAUGGCUGGGAAGCCAACCUCCAUCUAAAGGCAAGCGCGGACAUGCACACACACACACACGCCUCACAAGUUGGAUUGCAAGAGAGGGUGAAGUGGGCGAGGAGACCCAGUCAGCCGUGGCAUUUGAGGAAGGUACAUUUAGGCCACCGAAUUCAUUCCACCAACUUUGCACACUUGUCUUCCUUGUGCCAGGCUCUGGGACUCAUUCCUUUUGAGGGUAAAAGUCUGCCUCCCUGGACUCCUGCCCCUCAGGCGCUCCCACAGCCCGGCACCGCCCCCUCGCCAUUCCGGAGCCAGCGCGGGCUAAGCGGGCCUGGCCGGGGAUGAGCGGAGCCACCGUCCCCAUAUUCCUCGGUGCCCCGGGACCGCAAGAGGGAGCCGUGGUUUCCGGAACUCCUCCCGCCCCUCCGGGCUUUUCCUCUGUUAGGCAGGUGGCGAUUCGCUGUCUUUGCCUGUUAUGGCCGCUGCCGUCGCCCUGGAGACAGGUGAGUAGCGCUCUGAGCCUGGAGUCUUCGCAGAUAGAACUCUCCUUGGCCCAGACCUCUUCUCCCGCUUCCCCUGGGCCUCCUUCCAGGCCUCACUCCCGGCAGGAUUAGUAUUUGGACAGGGAGGAGAGAAGGCUCUUGCAGCGUCUAGAAAGGCUAAGGUACUCUGCAGUUUUCCUAAUUUGGUUUGUUCGCACACCUUUGCUAUUCAAACACGACCCCACCAGCUUCCCAGCGUGGGCGAGACUAAGGGAGAGGACUUGUGUCUUAAAGCGUGUCCUCCUUGUGUCUUAAAGCGUGUCCUUGAUUGGUUUUCUGCUUCUCACAUGAGCUUGCAUACGUUUGAAAUAUCGUCGCCAGACCUGUGUAUCAUUGUGUUACUUGUGAUUCUUAUAUAUGCAUAUGUUCCAUCAUCUUUUAGGCUCUCUGGAGUCUCUUGUUCAGCUUGCAUCCUAAGUUUUUCUUAACUGAUUCAGCACGUGCUUUUGCGAAACUUAAUCACUGUUAACAAUUGUUACAAUGCAUUAUUAAAAUAGGGGAAGCCACAGUUAUUACAGCCUACCUUAGAGAUCACUGUUAAAAUUCCUACAUAGUGGCCCAUGAGUGGUAGGUAUUGUGUCUCAUUUGUGUUGCUGUUUUCUUUGAUGAUUUCUCUUUACUUUUAAAGGUAACCCUCUUCCAUGACUGUUCCUUAAAGUGGUGCGCUGUCCCAGUAGACCAUGCUCUAGCUUUCCAAGCUGCUAGAACUGUCAGUGUUUCUCAGCCUUGGCACUAUUGACAUUUUGGGACCAGUGAUUCUUCAUCGUUGGCAGAGGGGAGGGUGUUGACCUGUGCACUGUAGGAUGUCAGGUGGCAUCCCCGGACUCUACCCGCUAGGUGCCAGUAGCACCUAAUGUGCCACCCACCCCCUCCCAACAACUUUUCAACCAAACUAAAAUGUCUCUAGAGGUUGCCAUAUAUCCUCUGGGGGACAAAAUCACACUUAGUUGAGAACCACUGUCCCACAUUCUACACACAGAAGCCAAAAGGAUAUUUUUUAAAUGUAAAUGGCAUCAUGUCGUUCCCCUGUUGGAAACCCUUCAAUGUUUUCCUGUUGACCUUAGAAUAAUCUCAAAUUCCUUACUGUGGCUUAGAAGACCUUCUGUGGACUGGCCCCUGCUUGCUUUUAACUCCUCUCUUCCGUUCUGCUUCCAUGUCUAUAUAAUUGCUUCUCUCUCACUCCAGCCACACUGGCCUUCUUUCUGUUCCUUGAACAUUCAAAGCUGGUUCCCAUCCACCCUUUGUAUUUGCUGUUCUUCUGCCUAGAAUGCACCUGUUCCAGAUCACUGUUCAUUCACACAUAUCUCAGAUUACAUGUUAACUAAUCAGCAAGGCCUUCCCUGACCAUUUUAUCAAAAGAAGCCACUUACUUCCAUUCUCUAUCACAUUACCCAUGUAUUUCCUUCAUAGUGCUAAUCACAAUAGAAAAUUGUCUUGUUUCAUCAUUGCUUGUCUGCCUUUUCA